GAAAGCGAUGGAGGCUGUACCCAGUGUGUGCUGUCUUGCUGCUGCUAGAGCCAGCUCUAGAGGCUCAGCAGGAAGGAGGCUGAGACAACCCCGGGCUGUUCCUGCGACAUCAAUGGUUUGCCCACUAGGAGGCGCUAGGCUCUUAGCAAUAGAUGGGACGAAUUUGCACUGAGGCAGCAGCUGUAGUCAGCACAGUUCUAUCUUCUUCUCCGAGAUGUUGCCCUUGGCCAAAAACACACUAAACCGUCUCCAAGUUCAAAGCAUUCAGUAAGCAUUCUGACCAGGCAGAACCACCAGAAGCAGACACCUAAUUUCCAUGACAAAUAUGGAAAUGCUGUAUUAGCAGGUGGAGGCCUCUUCUGUGUUUCUAUAUGGACACAAACAGCAACAUAGAUUGGAAUAGAAUGGAACCUGUCCCCUCUUGGCAGUCACCUCAAAGGAAUGGAAUGGUCAAUAGACAUGCCAGUUGGUACAAUAAUCAAGGAAUUGUUUCAAAAUCAGCAUAAGUGAUGCCAAGUCAAAGAAUGCUGUAUUCACUAAAAUAUGGCAUAUUGAAGAAAAAUAAAGUACCUUUGAAACCUUAAAGAA
rnacentral:lncRNA from 1 species